UCCUUGGUGGUCCAGUGGCUAAGACUCUGCACUCCUGAUACAGGGGGGCUAGGUUCGAUCCCUGGUCAGGGAA